rnacentral:rRNA from 1 species
GCGGUGGAAAAGAAACCAAAAGGGAUUCCGAUAGUAACGGCGAGCGAACUCGGAUCAGCUCAUCGCCAAGUCCCUUCGUCAGCAGGCGUAAGGGAGAUGCGGCGUGAAAGUAGCAGAGCAUCGCGCUUUGCCUGUGAAACGCAAGUUCCUCUGACAAGGACUUUUUCCAUAGUGGGUGCUAGGCCCAUAGCUGUUUCGAGGCUUUGUGCGCAUUCUGUUGCUUGCUAGAGUCAGGUUGCUUGAAAGUGCAGCCCUAAGUCGGUGGUAAACUCCACCUAAAGCUAAAUAUUACUGCGAGACCGAUAGCAAACAAGUACCGUGAGGGAAAGUUGCAAAGAACUUUGAAGAGAGAGUUCAAUAGGACGUGAAACCGUUUGUAGGUAAACAGAUGGAACCACGAAGUUUGCCGGAAAGAAGAUUCAACUGUUUCGGGAACGGCUGUUGUUGUCGUCUUAUUCGGCUCUUUUUAAGGGCAGGCGGUGAUAGCGUUCAAAGCUGUUCUUGAGCGGUGCAUUUCUUCAGUUCCGUGCUUAAGCCAUGACUAGUUGGCAAACUAGAGCGUCCGUAAGCGAAACUAUUCAGAAGGUAGCCGGUUGUGCCUUUGUGCACAAGCUGGUGUUAUAUCUGAAUAGUUGGUGCUUUGCUCAAGUUAACCGACUAGCAAAAUUUCUCCGUUUAUGCGGAGUAUGCAAGUAAAGCAGAUGGGCAGUUCCGCUGUCGAGACAAGUGUUGAUUUUGUAAGCCUUUUUGUGUUUGCACGAAAAGAUUGCAAUUUUGAUCUGUCUAUGCUGGCGGCGGAAUUUCUGUUCGUUUGUGGCAAUCGAUGGCUAGUAGGUCGGUAUCCAUCUGACCC